rnacentral:tRNA from 1 species
UGUCAAGGGGCGGGAAUCGAACCCACAACCUUCUGCUUACCGGGCAGGUGCCAUGUCCACUAGCUACCCUGGAC